CACGUAGGGGGCAAGCGUUGUCCGGAUUUAUUGGGCGUAAAGAGCUCGUAGGCGGUUUCGUAAGUCGGAUGUGAAAACUCCAGGCUCAACUUGGAGACGCCAUUCGAUACUGCGAUGACUUGAGUCCGGUAGGGGAGUGUGGAAUUCCUGGUGUAGCGGUGAAAUGCGCAGAUAUCAGGAGGAACACCGGCGGCGAAGGCGGCACUCUGGGCCGGUACUGACGCUGAGGUGCGAAAGCGUGGGGAGCAAACAGG
rnacentral:rRNA from 1 species